rnacentral:rRNA from 1 species
UAGGGAAUCUUCCGCAAUGGGCGAAAGCCUGACGGAGCAACGCCGCGUGAGUGAUGAAGGUCUUCGGAUCGUAAAACUCUGUUAUUAGGGAAGAACAAAUGUGUAAGUAACUAUGCACGUCUUGACGGUACCUAAUCAGAAAGCCACGGCUAACUACGUGCCAGCAGCCGCGGUAAUACGUAGGUGGCAAGCGUUAUCCGGAAUUAUUGGGCGUAAAGCGCGCGUAGGCGGUUUUUUAAGUCUGAUGUGAAAGCCCACGGCUCAACCGUGGAGGGUCAUUGGAAACUGGAAAACUUGAGUGCAGAAGAGGAAAGUGGAAGUCCAUGUGUAGCGGUGAAAUGCGCAGAGAUAUGGAGGAACACCAGUGGCGAAGGCGACUUUCUGGUCUGUAAAUGACGCUGAUGUGCGAAAGCGUGGGGAUCAAACAGG